rnacentral:rRNA from 1 species
UUUUGCAUAUCCAAAAAGCGGAGGAAAAGAAACCAACAGGGAUUGCCUCAGUAACGGCGAGUGAAGCGGCAACAGCUCAAAUUUGAAAUCUGGCCUCUUUGGGGUCCGAGUUGUAAUUUGUAGAGGAUGUUUCGGGUACCGCCUCGGUUUAAAUUUCUUGGAACAGAAUGUCAAAGAGGGUGAGAAUCCCGUCUUGGACCGGCGGUAGGGCCCAUGUGAAACUCCUUCGACGAGUCGAGUUGUUUGGGAAUGCAGCUCAAAAUGGGUGGUAAAUUUCAUCUAAAGCUAAAUAUUGGCCAGAGACCGAUAGCGCACAAGUAGAGUGAUCGAAAGAUGAAAAGCACUUUGAAAAGAGAGUUAAACAGUAUGUGAAAUUGUUGAAAGGGAAGCGCUUACAACCAGACUUGAGCGCGGCGGUUCCCCCUUCCUUUUGGUUGGGUUACUCCGUCGUGUCCAGGCCAACAUCGGUUUCGGGGGUCGGUUAAAGACCUUGGGAAUGUAUCUACCCUUCGGGCGUAGACUUAUAGCCCAGGGUGUCAUGCGGCCUCCCGGGACCGAGGAACGCGCUUCGGCUCGGAUGUUGGCGUAAUGGUUGUCAGCGACCCGUCUUGAAACAACGGACCAAAA